GCAACCUACCUUUAUCAGGGGGAUAGCCCGGAGAAAUCCGGAUUAACACCGCAUAAAAUCACAGGAUAGCAUUAUCCAAUGAUCAAAUAUUUAUAGGAUAAAGAUGGGCAUGCGUGUCAUUAGCUAGUUGGCGGGGUAACGGCCCACCAAGGCGACGAUGACUAGGGGAUCUGAGAGGAUGGCCCCCCACACUGGUACUGAGACACGGACCAGACUCCUACGGGAGGCAGCAGUAAGGAAUAUUGGUCAAUGGAGGGAACUCUGAACCAGCCAUGCCGCGUGCAGGAAGACUGCCCUAUGGGUUGUAAACUGCUUUUAUCCGGGAAUAAACCUACUUACGUGUAAGUAGCUGAAUGUACCGGAAGAAUAAGGAUCGGCUAACUCCGUGCCAGCAGCCGCGGUAAUACGGAGGAUCCAAGCGUUAUCCGGAUUUAUUGGGUUUAAAGGGUGCGUAGGCGGCCUGUUAAGUCAGGGGUGAAAGACGGUAGCUCAACUAUCGCAGUGCCCUUGAUACUGAUGGGCUUGAAUGGACUAGAGGUAGGCGGAAUGAGACAAGUAGCGGUGAAAUGCAUAGAUAUGUCUCAGAACACCGAUUGCGAAGGCAGCUUACUAUGGUCUUAUUGACGCUGAGGCACGAAAGCGUGGGGAUCAAACAGGAUUAGAUACCCUGGUAGUCCACGCCCUAAACGAUGAACACUCGCUGUUGGCGAUACACAGUCAGCGGCUAAGCGAAAGCGUUAAGUGUUCCACCUGGGGAGUACGCCCGCAAGGGUGAAACUCAAAGGAAUUGACGGGGGCCCGCACAAGCGGAGGAGCAUGUGGUUUAAUUCGAUGAUACGCGAGGAACCUUACCCGGGCUUGAAAGUUAGUGAAUGAUUUAGAGAUAGAUCAGUGAGCAAUCACACGAAACUAGGUGCUGCAUGGCUGUCGUCAGCUCGUGCCGUGAGGUGUUGGGUUAAGUCCCGCAACGAGCGCAACCCCUAUGUUUAGUUGCCAGCAUGUAAUGGUGGGGACUCUAAACAGACUGCCUGUGCAAACAGAGAGGAAGGAGGGGACGACGUCAAGUCAUCAUGGCCCUUACGUCCGGGGCUACACACGUGCUACAAUGGAUGGUACAGAGGGCAGCUAGCUGGCAACAGUAUGCGAAUCUCACAAAGCCAUUCACAGUUCGGAUUGGGGUCUGCAACUCGACCCCAUGAAGUUGGAUUCGCUAGUAAUCGCGUAUCAGCAAUGACGCGGUGAAUACGUUCCCG
rnacentral:rRNA from 1 species